GACGAACGCUGGCGGCGUGCUUAACACAUGCAAGUCGAACGGAAAGGCCCUGCUUUUGUGGGGUGCUCGAGUGGCGAACGGGUGAGUAACACGUGAGUAACCUGCCCUUGACUUUGGGAUAACUUCAGGAAACUGGGGCUAAUACCGGAUAGGAGCUCCUGCUGCAUGGUGGGGGUUGGAAAGUUUCGGCGGUUGGGGAUGGACUCGCGGCUUAUCAGCUUGUUGGUGGGGUAGUGGCUUACCAAGGCUUUGACGGGUAGCCGGCCUGAGAGGGUGACCGGCCACAUUGGGACUGAGAUAGGCCCAGACUCCUACGGGAGGCAGCAGUGGGGAAUAUUGCACAAUGGGCGGAAGCCUGAUGCAGCAACGCCGCGUGCGGGAUGACGGCCUUCGGGUUGUAAACCGCUUUCGCCUGUGACGAAGCGUGAGUGACGGUAAUGGGUAAAGAAGCACCGGCUAACUACGUG
rnacentral:rRNA from 1 species